AACGCACCUUGCGCCCCUUGGUAUUCCGAGGGGCACGCCUGUUUGAGUGUCAUUAAAUUCUCAACCUUGCCAGCUUUUACGAGUCGGCGUAGGCUUGGAUGUGGGGGUUGCCGGCUUCUUCAGAGGUCGGCUCUCCUUAAAUGCAUUAGCGGAACCUUUGUGGACCGUCUCUGGUGUGAUAAUUAUCUACGCCAUUGCCGUGAAGCAGCUUUACAUGGGGUUCAGCUCAUAACCGUCCAUUAACUUGGACAACUCUUGACAUUUUGACCUCAAAUCAGGCGGGACUACCCGCUGAACUUAA
rnacentral:misc_RNA from 1 species